rnacentral:rRNA from 1 species
AACUUUGGACAAUGGGGGAAACCCUGAUCCAGCCAUCCCGCGUGUAUGAUGAAGGCCUNAGGGUUNUNAAGUACUUUUGGCAGAGNCGAAAAGGUAUCCCCUAAUACGGGAUAUCGCUGACGGUAUCUGCAGAAUAAGCACCGGCUAACUACGUGCCAGCAGCCGAGGUAAUACGUAGGGUGCAAGGGUUAAUCGGAAUUACUGGGCGUAAAGCGUGUGAGGGCGGGUCGGAAAGAAAGGUGUGAAAUCCCAGGGCUCAACCUUGGAACUGCAUUUUUAACUGCCGAGCUAGAGUAUGUCAGAGGGGGGUAGAAUUCCACGUGUAGCAGUGAAAUGCGUAGAUAUGUGGAGGAAUACCGAUGGCGAAGGCAGCCCCCUGGGAUAAUACUGACGCUCAGACACGAAAGCGUGGGGAGCAAACAGG